AUUUCCAGGAAGCUUCAAGGACCAACAACACAUCUCGGUAUGACAAGUUGAGACUCGACCGUACAGACCCGUCCGGUCUCGCAUACGACGCCGUUAACGGCAAACGGAGAAACGACGCCGCUGACCCGCGGGAGGUACUUUCUCCAUCACUGCCUAAAGUGGACCUGAUGUGAACUAGAAUGAAGUUGGCUGGAGAUAAAGUGAACUGGACCUGCAGUGAAGUGGACCUGAAGUAGUCUGUGGUACUUUCUCCAUCACUGCCGAAAGUGGACCUGA